rnacentral:misc_RNA from 1 species
GAUGAGAACGUAGCGAAAUGCGAUAAGUAAUGUGAAUUGCAGAAUUCAGUGAAUCAUCGAAUCUUUGAACGCACAUUGCGCCCGCCAGUAUUCUGGCGGGCAUGACUGUUCGAGCGUCAUUUCAACCAUCAAGCCCCAGGCUUGUGUUGGGGACCUGCGGCUGCCGCAGGCCCUGAAAACCAGUGGCGGGCUCGCUGUCACACCGGGCGUAGUAGAUUUUAUCUCGCUCAGGGCGUGCUGCGGGUUCCGGCCGUUAAAAAGCCUUUUUUACCCAAGGUUGACCUCGGAUCAGGUAGGAAGACCCGCUGAACUUAAGCAUAUCAAUAAGCGGAGGA